UGGGGUAAUGGCCUACCAAGGCGACGAUGGGUAGCUGGUCUGAGAGGACGAUCAGCCACACUGGGACUGAGACACGGCCCAGACUCCUACGGGAGGCAGCAGUAGGGAAUCUUGCGCAAUGCGCGAAAGCGUGACGCAGCAACGCCGCGUGGGGGAAGAAGGCUUUCGGGUUGUAAACCCCUUUCAGUUGGGACGAAGCGAAAGUGACGGUACCUGCAAAAGAAGCGCCGGCUAACUACGUGCCAGCAGCCGCGGUAACACGUAGGGCGCAAGCGUUGUCCGGAAUCAUUGGGCGUAAAGAGCUCGUAGGCGGUCUGUUGCGUCCGCUGUGAAAACUCGGGGCUUAACCCCGAGCUUGCAGUGGAUACGGGCAGACUAGAGGUAGGUAGGGGGGAAUGGAAUUCCCGGGUGUAGCGGUGAAAUGCGCAGAUAUCGGGAGGAACACCGGGUGGCGAAAGGCGGUUCUCUGGGCCUUACCUGACGCUGAGGAGCGAAAGCGUGGGGAGCGAACAGGAUUAGAUACCCUGGUAGUCCACGCCGUAAACGUUGGGCGCUAAGGUGUGGGGUCCUUCCACGGACUCCGUGCCGCAGCUAACGCAUUAAGCGCCCGCCCUGGGGAGUACGGCCGCAAGGCUAA
rnacentral:rRNA from 1 species